GUUUGCAUUGCAGAAACUGUGUAAAUUUCAAUCUCUUUUGGUCCAACAGAACCACUCUCCUGUUGUUUGUUGUCUUCAACCAUUUGAAUGUUGUUGUAGUUAACAGGAAACUGUCCAGUCCCACCUGAUACAACAGCAAACUCUUUAUCAAUGUGCAUAUUGUCAGCAUCAUCCUCAUUUCCUUCAUUCAUCAUUGGUAUUAAGCCAUCAAACCUAUGAGCUGAAGUAUCUUAUUCUUCCACAAAGCCACAAUGUAGCAUAGUUCUGCCAACUUUCCCAACUGGAUGGAUCAGACAUCAUUCUCAGCAAUGGUGUCCAGUCCAUGAGAGUUAUCAACCCUAAGACCUUGUCUAUAUGACCAUGGCCCGUCAACCUAAGUUACGCAACUUCAGCUACACAAAUAAUGUAGCUGAAGCUUACGUACUUAGAUCCGCUUAACGCAGUAUCUUCAUAGCAGUGAGUUGACAGCUGAAGCUCUCCCUUCAUUCCGCUUGCACUUCUCAUUUUGC